GUGCCAGCCGCCGCGGUAAUACGAAGGGGGCUAGCGUUGUUCGGAACUACUGGGCGUAAAGCGCACGUAGGCCCAUAUUUAAGUCAGGGGUGAAAUCCCGCAGCUCAACUGCGGAACUGCCUUUGAUACUGGGUAUCUUGAGUAUGGAAGAGGUAAGUGGAAUUGCGAGUGUAGAGGUGAAAUUGCUAGAUAUUCGCAGGAACACCACUGGCGAAGGCGGCUUACUGGUCCAUUACUGACGCUGAGGUGCGAAACUGUGGGGAGCAAACAGGAUUAGAAACCCCAGUAGUCC
rnacentral:rRNA from 1 species